rnacentral:rRNA from 1 species
UACAGAGGGUGCAAGCGUUGCUCGGAUUUACUGGGCGUAAAGCGUACGCAGACGGUAAGAAAGGUCGGAUGUGAAAGCCCCGGGCUCAACCCGGGAACUGCAUCCGAAACCAUCUUGCUAGAGUAUGAGAGAGGGAAGCGGAAUUCCUGGUGUAGAGGUGAAAUUCGUAGAUAUCAGGAGGAACACCGGCGGCGAAGGCGGCUUCCUGGCUCAUUACUGACGUUCAGGUACGAAAGCGUGGGGAGCAAACAGG